rnacentral:rRNA from 1 species
GGUGAACGCUGGCGGCGUGCCUAAUACAUGCAAGUCGAGCGAACAGAUGAGGAGCUUGCUCCUCUGACGUUAGCGGCUGACGGGUGAGUAACACGUGGAUAACCUACCUAUAAGACUGGGAUGACUUCGGGAAACCGGAGCUAAUACCGGAGAAUAUAUUGUACCGCUGGGUUCAAUAGUGAAAGGCGGUUUUCCUGUCUCUUAUAGAUGGUUCCGGGUCGCAUUAGCUAGUUGGUAAGGUAACGGCUUACCAAGGCAACGAUGCGUAGCCGACCUGAGAGGGUGAUCGGCCACACUGGAACUGAGACACGGUCCAGACUCCUACGGGAGGCAGCAGUAGGGAAUCUUCCGCAAUGGGCGCAAGCCUGACGGAGCAACGCCGCGUGAGUGAUGAAGGUCUUCGGAUCGUAAAACUCUGUUAUUAGGGAAGAACAAAUGUGUAAGUAACCAUGGACGUCUUGACGGUACCUAAUCAGAAAGCAACGGCUAACUUCGUG